rnacentral:rRNA from 1 species
UGAGUAACCUGCCCUUAACUCUGGGAUAAGCCUGGGAAACUGGGUCUAAUACCGGAUAUGACUCCUCAUCGCAUGGUGGGGGGUGGAAAGCUUUUUUGUGGUUUUGGAUGGACUCGCGGCCUAUCAGCUUGUUGGUGAGGUAAUGGCUCACCAAGGCGACGACGGGUAGCCGGCCUGAGAGGGUGACCGGCCACACUGGGACUGAGACACGGCCCAGACCUCCGUACGGGGAGGCAG